rnacentral:snoRNA from 1 species
UUGCUUCCGGGAUGAUAAGUCCCUGAAAUUCAAAAUUUUCAUCCAUCCAUCACUUUGUCAGCAUUUUUCAUUUACCUGAUUUGCUGACCAUACAGGAAUGGAACAAUU